GUCGAGGGGCAGCAUGGAGAGUAGCAAUACUCUCUGAUGGCGACCGGCGCAAGGGUGCGUAACGCGUGAGCAACUUGCCCUCAUCAGGGGAAUAAUCGCUGGAAACGGCGUCUAAUGCCCCAUGGUGAUGGAAUCAGGCAUCUGAUUUCAUCUAAAGAUCCGUCGGAUGAGGAUAGGCUCGCGUGACAUUAGCUAGACGGCGGGGUAACGGCCCACCGUGGCGACGAUGUCUAGGGGUUCUGAGAGGAAGGUCCCCCACACUGGAACUGAGACACGGUCCAGACUCCUACGGGAGGCAGCAGUGAGGAAUAUUGGUCAAUGGCCGGAAGGCUGAACCAGCCAUGCCGCGUGAAGGUCAGUGCCCUAUGGGCGUUAAACUUCUUUUGUGCGGGAGCAAUAAGGGCCACGCGUGGCCUGACGAGAGUACCGUACGAAUAAGCAUCGGCUAACUCCGUGCCAGCAGCCACGGUAAUACGGGGGAUGCAAGCGUUAUCCGGAUUUAUUGGGUUUAAAGGGUGCGUAGGCUGUGAGGUAAGUCAGCGGUGAAAUGCCCCCGCUCAACGGGGUGAAGUGCCAUUG
rnacentral:rRNA from 1 species